UUCAUCAUAACAUUGUAAUAUACAUCAUACACCCACUAUAUUGCUAAAUCUACACAAUUUUUUACAUCAACAGGAAAAUAUACCGGGAUAACCUGACUUCUCUUGAGACUCCCCUGCUUCAGAGCGGUUAUUGUUAAUGAUAUGCCAAUGGCCGCCCACACGUUGACGUGAUUGGUUACAAGUUGCUGUAACAGCAGAAACAUAUGUGCUCUCUCUCUGACAUCAUCUGAGCUCACUGCAUGGUCCAGCAGGAGGGUGGGGGACGCAUGUCCUUAGGUCUGAGAUCCGCAGGAGCCAAAAAUCCAUGGAGAAUGUCCAAGAGAGAGAGAGAGAGAGAGAGAAACACAGAGAGAGGACAUUCAACUUCAAUGGAAACAAGACAGUCAGAAAUAAUAGAUGGAGUGAGCAAGGGAGAGAAUGAAACAACAGAUUUUCAUGUUUUCUCCUACUGUAUAAAGACAAUCAGAUUCUUUUCAAAUAUUUUUUCUUUCUUUGCGCCCUCUCUCGCUCUCUUUUCAGCAGACAGCCUGACUCACUCCAUAAAAUCACUGAGGGCUCUGGGGUUUUGAGAGCUGGAAAAUAUUCUCUGGCUUUUUUUCCAUUAUUAAGCGACUCCUAAAACCCCAGGAUCAACAGAGAUGGAAGGGGGGAGAAGCAUAUGGAAAGGCAAUGAGAUAGUGGAGAAUUGUGGGGGUAAAUGCAUGGAACGCUUUGGUUGAUGUGUCAACGUCCGGAUAUGUUCUGAUUUACUGCCAAACAUUGUUAUUUUACAGUCCAGUUUUGCUGAAUUGCUUCAUUCAGCUGGUUGUCUCUAGGUUAGUUUGUCAGGUUACUGUGUGUGUUUAGCUUUGCAGUGAUGGAUGACUAAUUCUUUUUCCAGAAAGAUUCUUCUGUAAACACUAACAAAUACAGACACACACACAGACACACACACACAUACACACUGACCUAUCCGAAA